rnacentral:rRNA from 1 species
UAAGGAAUAUUGGUCAAUGGACGCAAGUCUGAACCAGCCAUGCCGCGUGAAGGAUGAAGGUCCUCUGGAUUGUAAACUUCUUUUAUAGGGGACGAAACCCAGGUAUUCUUACCUGAUUGACGGUACCCUAGGAAUAAGCACCGGCUAACUCCGUGCCAGCAGCCGCGGUAAUACGGAGGGUGCAAGCGUUAUCCGGAUUCACUGGGUUUAAAGGGUGCGUAGGAGGGCAGGGAAGUCAGUGGUGAAAUCUCCGGGCUUAACUCGGAAACUGCCGUUGAUACUCUCUGUCUUGAAUCCCGUGGAGGUGAGCGGAAUAUGUCAUGUAGCGGUGAAAUGCUUAGAUAUGACAUAGAACACCAAUUGCGAAGGCAGCUCGCUACACGAAGAUUGACUCUGAGGCACGAAAGCGUGGGGAUCAAACAGG